AUUGAACGCUGGCGGCAGGCCUAACACAUGCAAGUCGAGCGGAUGAAGGGAGCUUGCUCCUGGAUUCAGCGGCGGACGGGUGUGUAAUGCCUAGGAAUCUGCCUGGUAGUGGGGGAUAACGUUCGGAAACGGGCGCUAAUACCGCAUACGUCCUGAGGGAGAAAGUGGGGGAUCUUCCGACCUCACGCUAUCAGAUGAGCCUAGGUCGGAUUAGCUAGUUGGUGGGGUAAAGGCCUACCAAGGCGACGAUCCGUAACUGGUCUGAGAGGAUGAUCAGUCACACUGGAACUGAGACACGGUCCAGACUCCUACGGGAUGCAGCCGUGGGGAAUAUUGGACAGUGGGCGAAAGCCUGAUCCAGCCAUGCCGCGUGUGUGAAGAAGGUCUUCGGAUUGUAAAGCACUUUAAGUUGGGAGGAAGGGCAGUAAGUUAAUACCUUGCUGUUUUGACGUUACCAACAGAAUAAGCACCGGCUAACUUCGUG
rnacentral:rRNA from 1 species